GGCUAACGACUUGAUCGAGCUCGGCUCGACUCUCCCACCCAAUGUGUACCUACCUCUGUUGCUUUGGCGGGCCGCGGUCCUCCGCACCGGCGCCCUUCGGGGGGCUGGCCAGCGCCCGCCAGAGGACCAUAAAACUCCAGUCAGUGAACUUCGCAGUCUGAAAAACAAGUUAAUAAACUAAAACUUUCAACAACGGAUCUCUUGGUUCUGGCAUCGAUGAAGAACGCAGCGAAAUGCGAUAAGUAAUGUGAAUUGCAGAAUUCAGUGAAUCAUCGAAUCUUUGAACGCACAUUGCGCCCCUUGGUAUUCCGAGGGGCAUGCCUGUUCGAGCGUCAUUUCAACCCUCAAGCUCUGCUUGGUAUUGGGCCCCGUCCUCCACGGACGCGCCUUAAAGACCUCGGCGGUGGCGUCUUGCCUCAAGCGUAGUAGAAAACACCUCGCUUUGGAGCGCACGGCGUCGCCCGCCGGACGAACCUUUGAAUUAUUUCUCAAGGUUGACCUCGGAUCAGGUAGGGAUACCCGCUGAACUUAAGCAUAUCAAAA
rnacentral:rRNA from 1 species